rnacentral:rRNA from 1 species
GUAGUCCUGGCCGUAAACGGUGGACACUAGGUGUUGGAGGCAUCGACCCCUCCAGUGCCGCAGCUAACGCAUUAAGUGUCCCGCCUGGGGAGUACGACCGCAAGGUUGAAACUCAAAGGAAUUGACGGGGGCCCGCACAAGCGGUGGAGCAUGUGGUUUAAUUCGACGCAACGCGAAGAACCUUACCGGGGUUUGACAUGCACGGGACAGGUGUGGAAACACACCCUCCCUUCGGGGUCCGUGCACAGGUGCUGCAUGGCUGUCGUCAGCUCGUGUCGUGAGAUGUUGGGUUAAGUCCCGCAACGAGCGCAACCCUUGUCGCUAGUUGCCAGCGGGUAAUGCCGGGCACUCUAGUGAGACUGCCGGUGGUAAGCCGGA